AGAGUUUGAUCCUGGCUCAGAACGAACGCUGGCGGCAGGCUUAACACAUGCAAGUCGAACGAAGGCCCUAGCUUGCUAGGUGUCCUUAGUGGCGCACGGGUGAGUAACGCGUGGGAACCAACCCAAGAGUGAGGAAUAACUACUGGAAACGGUAGCUAAUACCGCAUACGCCCUUUGGGGGAAAGGCUUCGGCCGCUCCUGGACGGUCCCGCGUCUGAUUAGCUUGUUGGUGAGGUAAUGGCUCACCAAGGCGACGAUCAGUAGCUGGUCUGAGAGGAUGAUCAGCCACACUGGAACUGAGACACGGUCCAGACUCCUACGGGAGGCAGCAGUGGGGAAUAUUGGACAAUGGGGGAAACCCUGAUCCAGCCAUGCCGCGUGAGUGAAGAAGGCCCUAGGGUUGUAAAGCUCUUUCAACGGUGAAGAUGAUGACGGUAGCCGUAGAAGAAGCCCCGGCUAACUCCGUGCCAGCAGCCGCGGUAAUACGGAGGGGGCAAGCGUUGUUCGGAAUUACUGGGCGUAAAGAGCAUGUAGGUGGUUUUUUAAGUUGGAUGUGAAAGCCCUGGGCUCAACCUAGGAACUGCAUCCAAAACUAGAUGACUAGAGUACGAGAGAGGGAAGUAGAAUUCACAGUGUAGCGGUGGAAUGCGUAGAUAUUGUGAAGAAUACCAAUGGCGAAGGCAGCUUCCUGGUUCUGUACUGACACUGAGGUGCGAAAGCGUGGGUAGCGAACAGGAUUAGAUACCCUGGUAGUCCACGCCGUAAACGAUGACAACCAGCUGUUGGGAAGCAAUGCUUUUCAGUGGCGCAGCUAACGUCUUAAGUUGUCCGCCUGGGGAGUACGGCCGCAAGGUUAAAACUCAAAUGAAUUGACGGGGACCCGCACAAGCGGUGGAGCAUGUGGUUUAAUUCGAUGCAACGCGAAAAACCUUACCUACUCUUGACAUCCUUGGAACCUUUUGUAAUGAAAGGGUGCCUUUUGGAACCAAGUGACAGGUGCUGCAUGGCUGUCGUCAGCUCGUGUCGUGAGAUGUUCCGUUAAGUCGGAUAACGAGCGCAACCCUUACCCUUAUUUGCCAGCGGUUCGGCCGGGAACUAUAAGGGGACUGCCGGUGAUAAACCGGAGGAAGGUGAGGACGACGUCAAGUCAUCAUGGCCCUUACGAGUAGGGCUACACACGUGCUACAAUGGGAAGUACAGAGGGACGCCAA
rnacentral:rRNA from 1 species